GGGCCACCGUUUGUUGAGUGCAAAUAUGGAUGACUGUUUUUGCCGGCUUCACUGUCGCUUAUAAGGGUUAUCAAAUAUCACUUUGAUUAAAUUAGAGUGCCUCAAAGCAAGUGUGUACUCGAUAUAAUGCAUGGAAUGAUCGAAUAUGUUGUGUCUAUUGUCGUUUUGAACGAUGAAAUGAUUGAAAGGAACCGUUGGGGGCAUUCGUAUUGUUGUGAGAGAGGUGAAAUUCUUAGACCACAGCAAGACGAACUACUGCGAAAGCAUUUGCCAAGAAUGUUUUCAUUGAUCAAGAACGAAAGUUAGAGGUUCGAAGGCGAUCAGAUACCGCCCUAGUUCUAACCAUAAACUAUGCCAACUAGCAAUCUGCUUAUAUAUGUUCUAUGAUUAAGUAGGCGGCCACGGGAAACCAAAGUAGGGUUAUGGGGGAAGUAUGGUUGCAAAGCUGAAACUUAAAGGAAUUGACGGAAGGGCACCACCAGGAGUGGAGCCUGCGGCUUAAUUUGACUCAACACGGGAAAACUUACCUGGUCCUGACACUAGAAGGAUUGACAGAUUGAUAGCUCUUUCUUGAUUUGGUGGAUGGUGGUGCAUGGCCGUUCUUAGUUGGUGGAGUGAUUUGUCUGGUUAAUUCCGAUAACGAACGAGACUCUAGCCUAUUAAAUAACACACAGAAUCUUGUCUUCUGUGGUGUUUCUUAAUGGGAUCAAGUG
rnacentral:rRNA from 1 species